rnacentral:lncRNA from 1 species
UUUUCUCUUUUCCCCAAACAGAAAGUGGACAAGUUUUAGUAUGGAAACAUCAUCAAAAUUGUUUUGCAUGACAACUGAGUCCAAUUUCACUAAUUACAAAGCAAACAUUAUACUGGUACUCAAUUGUCUUAUAUAGCAUGAAGUCUUCCAUAAUCCUGAUAGCGGUGAUUGCCUUCCUCCUUGUCUGGUCCCAUAUGAUGUGAGCUGU